CUGUGAAGGAUUUGCGGUUAUGAAGGAUAGGGAGUUUUUGGGUCUCUAGGCCUGUCCUCCCUGAUGCCAUUUGGCUUUGAUUUGGGGGCAUGGUUUUACAACAAAACG